AUGAGGAAUGAGGAUGCUGAAGUAACCUUCAAAUGGAUAUGGAAAUCAUGCUGCCUGCCAAAGCAUAAAUUCUUUUGCUGGCUUCCACUUCAUGAUAGAAUAAACACAUGUGACCUCCUGACCAGGAAAAAUAUGCAUCUUGAUUCCACUCAAUGUGUAUUAUGUGAUGCUGAAGAUAAUGAAGACAGAAUGCAUCUAAUAUUCUCAUGUCCAUUCAGCCAGGGUUUUUGGUGGAACAUUGGUCUUGAAUGGAACACAGACCUGAAUAUUCAUGAUAUGAUUAUUGAAGCCCAUCAAAGAUAUCGCCAACACCAUUUCAUGGAAAUUAUGAUUGUUGAAUGCCGGAGUAUAUGGAAUGAAAGAAAUGGACUGAUAUUUGAAGGAAUCCCAUGCUCUAUCAAUGAUUGCAGAUAUGAAUUUAUCAAAACUUUCAAGUUGACUACGCUAAGAGCCAAACCUAGUCAAAAGGAGGGAAUGUCAUCUUGGAUUGAUAACAUUUAA
rnacentral:rRNA from 1 species